GUCUAACUGCUUAUUAAACUCAUAUAAGAUAGACCAUCGUUAUUUCAACUUAGAAGUUAUUAAUUGUUGUCUUAGAAAAACAAACAUGUUUUAAAGUGUUUCUGACGCACAUCUUGUCAAAUAAACAACUUCUGGACAUCCGUAUCCGUAUCCAUAUUUAGGUAUAUAACGACAUCUACGUUAUUUACCGACUGAAGAGAAUUUCUGGCUUAUAAGGCUGCAACCAAGUGGUAUAAAAGAAGACGUCUGUGUUGAUUUUCUACCUGCAUCAAGGAGGUUAACAAUAUCCACAAUGAAGGCAAAUUUAUUCUGCACGUUCUUGGUCUUCUUUUUGGCAGCAUCGCACGGAAUUUUUGGUAUUGGUGGUGUCGGACACAUGUACGAGUAUAAUGACGGAAUUAUGGGCGAUAUGGAGAUGGAUGUAAACAGGGGAAACGGCCUAGAUGGUGGAAUGAUCUGCGUUUGCCUAGAUAGACCUUGGCAGACAUGGUGCCCAAGUGGAUAUAGGGAGUGGGGCACAUGCUACAAUAUACGUUAUUGGAAGCCGAAAAAAUGCUGCAAAGGAUAGCAGAGCAAUAUUCAUAGGACAAGCACCAUGGAGGAAUGAUUUGACUGGCAAAAUAUAUCGAUUAAUAAUUAUUUUAAUCUUUGCAUUUAGAAAAACACAAAUAAAUAUCAAUAUUUAA